UACGUAGGGGGCAAGCGUUAUCCGGAUUUACUGGGUGUAAAGGGAGCGUAGGUGGUUCGGUAAGUCAGAUGUGAAAGCCCGGGGCUCAACCCCGGGACUGCAUUUGAAACUAUCGAACUAGAGUGUAGGAGAGGUAAGUGGAAUUCCUAGUGUAGCGGUGAAAUGCGUAGAUAUUAGGAGGAACACCAGUGGCGAAGGCGGCUUACUGGACUAUAACUGACACUGAGGCUCGAAAGCGUGGGGAG
rnacentral:rRNA from 1 species